CACAUGCGUGUAUUAAGCGAAUCCUGGCCGAGCUGAGAUUUGUAGUUCCGCGGCUGAGCUCCACUGGUAUUAUGCCGUUAUACUGACAGCUGAUAGACAGUUACAUGGAACAUAAACCGGGCGAAGCUAUGCUGCAAGUUGAAACAAAGGAGUCAUCCUCCAUGAGGAUGACGUGGGAUAAAGAACUGCUAUCUUAGCACAGAGAAUCAUGGCCGGACUUUUGGGCAUCUUUCCUCGGAGUCUUCACCGGCUACCUGUUGUCAGGAACGGACAGUGGACAGACGAAGUGGUCGGACUCGGACAUCCGCGCUACUCCCGGUCACUAUCCGCCACUCUACUGCCGCAUUACCCACCUUGCUCUGGACACCAGACGAGCCAAGUUCCUGUACCAAGGACAGGCUACCUCCAGCGUCCAGGCACGAUGUGGUGUAUAUAUAGAGACGAUAUGGCCUUUCCAACGGUUAGUCGACGUGGGCAGUCUCCAGUGUGACAGGACGUUUGAUAAAGCCUACAUCUUUACGAUGUAUUAUUACUACGGCAGUAAUUAUUUCCACUUACACUACGAUAUGAUGCUGCCGCUGUACCUUGCGAUGCACGCUGGGAGGAAGUCACCGCUUAAGAAUGUGCGUACUCAUGCCAACGGUGGAGUCCUCAAGGAUGGAGAUUUUAAACUGGAACACCCCUGCGUUUGAGAACCCGGACGCUUACUGGAUGC